GAUGAACGCUGGCGGCGUGCCUAAUACAUGCAAGUCGAGCGAACGGACGAGAAGCUUGCUUCUCUGAUGUUAGCGGCGGACGGGUGAGUAACACGUGGAUAACCUACCUAUAAGACUGGGAUAACUUCGGGUAACCGUAGCUAAUACCGGAUAAUAUUUUGAACCGCAUGGUUCAAAAGUGAAAGACGGUCUUGCUGUCACUUAUAGAUGGAUCCGCGCUGCAUUAGCUAGUUGGUAAGGUAACGGCUUACCAAGGCAACGAUGCAUAGCCGACCUGAGAGGGUGAUCGGCCACACUGGAACUGAGACACGGUCCAGACUCCUACGGGAGGCAGCAGUAGGGAAUCUUCCGCAAUGGGCGAAAGCCUGACGGAGCAACGCCGCGUGAGUGAUGAAGGUCUUCGGAUCGUAAAACUCUGUUAUUAGGGAAGAACAUAUGUGUAAGUAACUGUGCACAUCUUGACGGUACCUAAUCAGAAAGCCACGGCUAACUACGUG
rnacentral:rRNA from 1 species